rnacentral:ribozyme from 2 species
GCUAUAAUGCAGCUUGGAAGAAAUUCCAAACGGUCACAAGCCCGUAUAAAUGCAGAGUGUAUG